rnacentral:rRNA from 1 species
CCCUUAGAUGUUCUGGGCCGCACGCGCGCUACACUGACGAAGUCAGCGAGCAUGUCCUACGCCGACAGGUGCGGGGAAUCUUGUCAAACUUCGUCGUGAUGGGGAUUGAUUAUUGAAAUUCUUGAUCAUCAACGAGGAAUUCCUAGUAAGCGCAAGUCAGCAGCUUGCGUUGAUUACGUCCCUGCCCUUUGUACACACCGCCCGUCGCUACUACCGAUUGAAUGGUUUAGUGAGAUCUUCGGAUUGGCGCCACUGCGGCUCAGCAAUGGGCUCGGUGGAUGCCGAAAAGUUGAUCAAACUUGCUCAUUUAGAGGAAGUAAAAGUCGUAACA